GGGACAGUGAAGGUUCCUGGAUGCAGAGCCACCAUCCCCGCCACAUUCCUGCUUGGUUCCCUUUCCUGUGUUCCAGUGGGAUAUGGAGCACACCAGGAGCUGUGUCUCGGAGCAGAGUGGGUUUGGAAGCAGUGCUGGGAGGGGGCAUGGAAGGAGACAGGGAAUGCACCCAGGGAAGACCAGGCACUCAUGGAAUGUCUUUCCAGAGGCCAUAGCGCUGGGUAUGUACAAUUCCACCUCUUAAAACAAAAAGAAGGAAAAGCAGGAAGAAUGGGUGCCAUGGUUGAGGAUAUUUGGUGUUUCCUUCACUGCUACUUCAAUUUACUCUUCCUCCAUCCCACCUUGAGCCUCUGGGGGAGCUGAGGGCACAGAACUCAAGGACUGAGAGAAUCCUCCUGGCUUCUCCAGCUUCACACACCUUCCUGCUCUUCUGCAGCAUGUGGCUUUCCAGGGAUACCGGCAGGAGAAAGGAACAGCUCUUGGAAGUGAAUCUAUUUGGUGUCAGGCUGAAAGAAGACAGCGUAGUAGCAGCACAUCUGGAUGUUUCCCAGGCUGGAAGGUGUGACUGAAGGAGGUUCAAAUCAAGACUGCAAAAUCAGAUGCACCUCUUCCAGUAAAAACCCUCAGGAGGG